GACAUUGUACCAUACCCUCAAAGUUGAAGGUUUGGUAUUUUGACACUAAGGUGCAGACCCGCAAAUAACCUUACACCAUGGCAACAGAUAAAAGGAAUUAUCCAAAUUAGCAGCUAGAGUCAGAAUGUAUUUCCAAAAAAAAAAAUGUGAGGAGAUGUUCUUCUAUCUGCACUCACCUUUCCAGUGAGGAUAACACAUGGGAGCCACAAGACAACCUGGACCUGGACCUUAUCACCGAGUACCUGCAGAGACACGAGGAGGAGGAGGGCAAAAGAAAAGGUGUCCGGGAGGCCUCGGGAGACUCAGAGGAGCGAGGGAGCAAGAGGAAGAAGGAGGAGAAACAGAGAAGAGGAGAGAGAUCAAAAUGUCACCACUGUCAACACUGUGACAAAUCCUUCACAACAUC